AGUCGAGGGGUAUGCUUCUUCGGGAGCAGAGACCGGCGCACGGGUGCGUAACGCGUAUGCAAUCUACCUUUUACAGAGGGAUAGCCCAGAGAAAUUUGGAUUAAUACCUCAUAGUAUAAUAGCUCGGCAUCGAGCAAUUAUUAAAGUCACAACGGUAAAAGAUGAGCAUGCGUCCCAUUAGCUAGUUGGUAAGGUAACGGCUUACCAAGGCUACGAUGGGUAGGGGUCCUGAGAGGGAGAUCCCCCACACUGGUACUGAGACACGGACCAGACUCCUACGGGAGGCAGCAGUGAGGAAUAUUGGACAAUGGGCGCAAGCCUGAUCCAGCCAUGCCGCGUGCAGGAUGACGGUCCUAUGGAUUGUAAACUGCUUUUGUACAGGAAGAAACAGUUCUACGUGUAGAACCUUGACGGUACUGUAAGAAUAAGGAUCGGCUAACUCCGUGCCAGCAGCCGCGGUAAUACGGAGGAUCCAAGCGUUAUCCGGAAUCAUUGGGUUUAAAGGGUCCGUAGGCGGUUUAAUAAGUCAGUGGUGAAAGCCCAUCGCUCAACGGUGGAACGGCCAUUGAUACUGUUAAACUUGAAUUAUUAGGAAGUAACUAGAAUAUGUAGUGUAGCGGUGAAAUGCUUAGAGAUUACAUGGAAUACCAAUUGCGAAAGGCAGGUUACUACUAAUUGAUUGACGCUGAUGG
rnacentral:rRNA from 1 species